rnacentral:rRNA from 1 species
UACAGAGGUCUCAAGCGUUUGUUCGGAUUCAUUGGGCGUAAAGGGGUGCGUAGGCGGCGCGGUAAGUCGGGUGUGAAAUCUCGGAGCUUAACUCCGAAACUGCAUUCGAUACUGCCGUGCUUGAGGACUGGAGAGGAGACUGGAAUUUACGGUGUAGCGGUGAAAUGCGUAGAUAUCGUAAGGAAGACCAGUGGCGAAGGCGGGUCUCUGGACAGUUCCAUGACGCUGAGGCACGGAAGGCCAGGGGAGCAAACGGG